UACGGGGGGGGGCAAGCGUUGUUCGGAAUUACUGGGCGUAAAGGGUUUGUAGGUGGCCGGCUAAGUCAGACGUGAAAUCCCUCAGCUUAACUGGGGAACUGCGUCUGGGACUGGUCGGCUUGAGGGCCGGAGAGGAACGCGGAAUUCCAGGUGUAGCGGUGAAAUGCGUAGAUAUCUGGAGGAACACCGGUGGCGAAGGCGGCGUUCUGGACGGCAUCUGACACUGAGAAACGAAAGCCAGGGGAGCAAACGGG
rnacentral:rRNA from 1 species